rfam:Solanum tuberosum cultivar DM 1-3 516 R44 scf00348_35, whole genome shotgun sequence.
AGGGAUGUAGCGCAGUUUGGUAGCACCUUUGUUUUGGGUUAAAAAUGUCACGGGUUCAAAUCUUGUCAUCCCAA